ensembl:lncRNA
CUGCCCUACAACAAAAGCUUACACAAAGUGCAUUGAUGUUUGCUAUUGCACAAAAUGACUACUAAAACCAAUGUCUUAAGCAUCUUUAUUUUACUGUGCUAUAACAAUCAUUACAUUUUCUCUACAUUAUGACCUUUGUUUUCCCACUAGUCGUCUGGCUCUGAGUUGUAAAAUAUUGUUCAGAGGCCAUUAGUUGCAAUCAGCAGUAGAAACCGUGUCCUCCACACCUGAUUCGGUCAAAAGCUGAGGGAUGUGGCUGGCGACAGGAACCCCUUAUUCAUACGGAGGGUAGGGGGGGAUCAUGAUGUAUAAAUAAUAGUUUUAACUGUUGGUGUACGUGUUUUACUUUUCAUUAUAUUUUGGGUUCUGCCAGGGUAUGAUAGUUGUACUAAGACCAUAAGUCAUUCUUCAAGAAUCAAUGGGUGCAUAAGUAAAAUGGAUGUUGUGACUGAUGGCCCCUUUAAAAUAUGAUUGGCUCAAAGUGUAGCCCAGAUGGAAAAACUGGGACUAGUCCUGAUUUAUUAGGAUCCUCCAUUAGCCAAUGACAGCUAGUCUUACUGGGGUCCGACACAUGAGAUUACAUAAGACUUUAACAUUUACAUUUAAAAAAACAUGUCUCUGUUACACCUCAGUACAUACAAGUCACGGGGGAGAGGUUGUUUACAUCUGUUACAUGUCAGUACAUACAAGUCACGGGGGAGAGGUUGUUUACAUCUGUUACAUGUCAGUACAUACAAGUCACGGGGGAGAGGUUGUUUACAUCUGUUACAUGUCAGUACAUACAAGUCACGGGGAGAGGUUGUUUACAUCUGUUACACGUCAGUACAUACAAGUCACGGGGAGAGGUUGUUUACAUCUGUUACAUGUCAGUACAUACAAGUCACGGGGAGAGGUUGUUUACAUCUGUUACAUGUCAGUACAUACAAG